rnacentral:rRNA from 1 species
UAGUCCACGCCGUAAACGAUGUCUGCUAGCCGUCGGGGCACUUGGUGUUUCGGUGGCGCCGCUAACGCAUUAAGCAGACCGCCUGGGGAGUACGGUCGCAAGAUUAAAACUUAAAGGAAUUGACGGGGGCCCGCACAAGCAGUGGAGCAUGUGGUUUAAUUCGAAGCAACGCGCAGAACCUUACCAGCCCUUGACAUCCCGUGCUACAUCCAGAGAUGGAUGGUUCCCUUCGGGGACGCGGUGACAGGUGCUGCAUGGCUGUCGUCAGCUCGUGUCGUGAGAUGUUGGGUUAAGUCCCGUAACGAGCGCAACCCCUAUCCUUAGUUGCCAGCGAGUAAUGUCGGGGACUCUAGGGAGACUGCCGGUGACAAACCGGAGGAGGGUGGGGAUGACGUCAAGUCACCAUGGCCCUUAUGGGCUGGGCUACACACGUGCUACAAUGGUCGGUACAGAGGGCAGCGAAGUCGCGAGGCGGAGCAAAUCUCAGAAAACCGAUCUUAGUCCGGAUUG